rfam:Steinernema glaseri strain NC unplaced genomic scaffold GLAS_5588, whole genome shotgun sequence.
UGACAGGAAAGGUAUCCCACAGGGCCUAUAACUGGGGGUUAAAGACCCGGAGUACAAUUUUUGGAGUGCCUUCGAAGAUCGCGUUUCGAGGCAU